GUGGGGAAUAUUGGACAAUGGGGGGAACCCUGAUCCAGCCAUGCCGCGUGUGUGAAGAAGGCCUUUUGGUUGUAAAGCACUUUAAGCGAGGAGGAGGCUACCGAGAUUAAUACUCUUGGAUAGUGGACGUUACUCGCAGAAUAAGCACCGGCUAACUCUGUGCCAGCAGCCGCGGUAAUACAGAGGGUGCACGCGUUAAUCGGAUUUACUGGGCGUAAAGCGCGCGUAGGUGGCCAAUUAAGUCAAAUGUGAAAUCCCCGAGCUUAACUUGGGAAUUGCAUUCGAUACUGGUUGGCUAGAGUAUGGGAGAGGAUGGUAGAAUUCCAGGUGUAGCGGUGAAAUGCGUAGAGAUCUGGAGGAAUACCGAUGGCGAAGGCAGCCAUCUGGCCUAAUACUGACACUGAGGUGCGAAAGCAUGGGGAGCAAACAGGAUUAGAUACCCGAGUAGUCC
rnacentral:rRNA from 1 species